AUUUUGGGGAGCUAUUGUCCUCUUCCUUAGGACUGUGUCUCUUCAGACUCUUCUGGCUUUGCUGCCUUGCUUGUCUAAGGGCACCUUCUCUCCUACUUGGCACAGGUACCCUGUGUUACUUUAAGUGUUUGAAAAGAGCUAGUACUGGUCUUCAAAAAAUCAGAAAAGGAGAUGCAUUACUGCCUUCAGGUAUCAAUGCAAGAAUAUGGGAUCACAGGAUGCACUAAGCUGGAUGGUGCUGUUGUACAACAGACUGAAAACAGAAGCACUCCACCCACUAUUGGCUCUUCGAAGCUUUUUUGGUCUCUUCCCACAGAGGUUUCUACCUUGAUGACUCCUAUCUCAAAAUCCUUUUUUGGAAGAAUGGUUCUGAAAAUCCUCAAUUAUGACUUAAAAGUUCUACUACCCUUGAGCUAUGUCUUUACCUAUUCUACUUCAAUGAACUGCUAUGCACUGCAAACACUUCCUGAUGCCAAGAGACUGGCAGAACACAACAGAAUUGUGCAUAGAACGAAAUUGAGCUAA
rnacentral:lncRNA from 1 species